CAUUAGAUGGCUGAAAGUAAGCUAUGGCAUUUUAAUCCAUUUAUAAUGAAUAUAACAAACAUUUCUAAUGA
rnacentral:tRNA from 1 species